GAGACUGAGUGUCAAUCACUGUGACUACUUCGACAUAUGGGGACAAGGGACCAUGGUCACCGUCACUUCAGCUGAACAGUCGCCCCCGUCUCUCUUUCCACUAAUUUCUUGCGGCACGUCUCAGGAGUCCACCUUCACCAUAGGUUGUUUGGCCAAAGAUUUCCUUCCAGACUCUAUUAACUUCAGCUGGACAGAUAAGUCUAAUAACAGUUUUACCAGCGGCUUUAAGAAGUAUAAUUCCGUGUUGCAAACUAGUGGCACCUACGCAGCAAGCACCCAAAUAACGGUGACCUCUGACAACUGGAAUAAGGCUGAUCCUUUUUACUGUGAGGCCAAAACUGCAGUAAACACCAAGAGUUUGAAAGUCGUGCCAGGAUCAGGAGCAGAUCAUGACCCAAGGAAGCCAAUAGUGACCAUGCACCCACCCUUGAAACAUGACUUGGAAAAGAAUGGCGAAGGCACAAUUGUGUGUGUUGCUGGUGAAUUUUAUCCUCAAUCUAUUAAAGUGUCCUGGCUGAAGAACCAUAAAGCAACCACUCUAUAUACUUAUACAGAAGAAGUAUCUUCCGAUGGUAAUGGAAAUUUUACCAUAAGGUCAUUUAUCACAGUACCUAAAAAAGAUUGGAAUGAGGAUGCAGUGAUCACAUGUAAGGUGGAUCAUUCUGCCUCCGGUUUUUCAGAAAUGAGGAAUUUGAGCAAAUCCCAAGUUUGUGAUACAGUGGUUCUGCCUGACAGCCUCCAAGUGAUUGCUAUCCCUCCAUCUUUUGAGACAAUGUAUCUUACAAAAACUGCUCCACUCACCUGUUUAGUGACAAACAUGGCAAGUGUAGAUGGAUUAGACAUCUCCUGGUAUGAAAAAGGCUCAGAGACAAGACUUACGACCGAGAUUGAAAUCCCAGUGUUCCAUGAUAAUAGCACAUAUUCUACAAAGGCUAUCUCUACUGUGUGUGUUGAUGACUGGCUUACUAAAGAAUUUACCUGCAUAGUGAGGCAUCCUGAACUAGCCACUCCCAGUCAGGUCUCUCUCGUUAAAGAAAAUGGACACACACCCAGAACUCCCACAGUCUUAGUUUUCCCACCACACCAAGAUGAAAUUAAAAUGGGAGAAUCCCUUACCAUGUUAUGCCUGGUGAAAGGGUUCUAUCCAAAGGAUAUAUUUGUCAAGUGGCUGAUUGGCGAUAAACUGGUUGAAGUAAAUGUUGUCAAUACCGAACCUAUUGUAGAGACCAAUCAUUCUGGAGACACCACCUAUUUUAUGUAUAGCAAGUUGACUAUAUUAAAUGGUGCAGAUUGGAACUCUGGUAAAACGUUUACCUGUUUGGCUGGUCACGAAUCUCUGCCUCUACAGGCCACCCAAAGGAGCAUUGACAAAAAUUCUGGUAAACCAACAUCCGUGAAUGUGUCCCUCAUUAUGUCUGAUUCCUGCUAACAAUCCUUAAAAAAGACCUUAUAACACUGCCUCUUGUUCUUCCCUACGUGAUGUGUGGCAUGAGAAGGAGGAGGAAGGAGAAUUGUCAUCGUGGUGUUUGUUGGUCUGCUUUUGUACAUUAACUUAAAUGAAUCCUGUCUGCAUUUUGAAAAGUAGAAAUAAAAAAAUCAAUUUAUAAAA